rnacentral:lncRNA from 1 species
AUAUGUACAUACACUUGAUAGAAAAUAAGUUAUAUAGGGGCGUGAGAGCACCAAUAAUGGACUCAAUUCUAGAGAAUGUCCAAAUUCCCACACCUUGACAUGAUGUGGCAACUGCAGCACUGCACCGAAGCAAUAGAACUUACACUUUCAUCUGGUAAUAUUAUCUUUUUGAUUUCUAUAUUUCAUUUCCGUAACCACUGCCAUAAAAAAUGCAUUUUUAUACUAACUGUCGCAUAAUGGAUUUGUCAUGUGUGAUUAUGAACCUUAAGCAUUGCUUGAUUAAAUUACCAUUAUAUAUUUUAUAUUUAAACUUAAGGCCUGCAAAUAUUAUUUUAUAGUCAUGAAAGGAAUCACUUGAAUUGUUUGGAUUAGAUUAAAUUUUUAUGGGAAAAAAAAUAAUUCUAUUAGUUAAAAAAAGUCUUUCGAAUGAGCAGAAUAGACUUAACAACAGUUCCAAUAUACAAUAUAAUACGAAGAAUGUUUAGAACAAAACAAACUUUUGAAUUGAGAAUGAAACAAAAUGAUACAAUAGGGCUACAUUCAUAGCAAUGCUCUUUGAUGUAGACCCUGAUAUAAAUGAAAUAGCGAUAAUGUAAUGCAUAAUAUUGAAACAAAUUAAGUUGGUUUAGCCGCAUCAAUAGACUCUUGGAGGAGGUGGUGGAGAGUUAUAGAGGUAGGGAAGGUGAUAAGCCGGAUGCUUGAGGACAUGACGAGAAGGGGAAGGUGAUUUAUGAAUAUAUGGUGGAGGAGGUGAAGAAGAAGGUGGAGGUGGAGACUUGUAAACAUAUGGAGGAGGCGGUGAAGGUGAUGGUGGGGGAGGAGACUUGUACGCAUAUGGAGGAGGGGGUGACGGGGAAGGCGGUGGUGGGGACUUGUAAACAUAUGGAGGAGGUGGUGAGGGGGAAGGUGGUGGUGGGGACUUGUAGACAUAUGGUGGUGGAGGUGAAGGAGAGGGAGGAGGUGGAGAGUUGUAGACAUAAGAAAGGGGUAGCGAUGCAUAUGGUGGUGGAGGAGAUUUGUAAACAUAUGGAGGCGGUGGUGAAGGAGAGGGAGGUGGAGGAGAUUUGUAGACAUACGGUGGAGGAGGUGAGGGAGAAGGAUGUGGUGGUGACUUGUGCACAUAAGGCGGAGGUGGUGAUGGGGAUGGUGGUGGUGGGGACUUGUAGAUGUAAGAAAGGGGUAGUGAUGCAGAUGGUGGAGGAGGAGACUUGUAGACAUAUGGAGGUGGUGGUGAAGGAGAGGGAGGUGGAGGAGAUUUGUAGACAUAUGGUGGAGGAAGUGAAGGAGAAGGAGGUGGUGGUGACUUGUAAAUAUAAGGUGGAGGUGGUGAUGGGGAUGGUGGUGGUGGGGACUUGUAGAUGUAAGAAAGGGGUAGUGAUGCAGAUGGUGGAGGAGGAGACUUAUAGACAUACUUAGGUUGUGGUGAUGGAGAGGGAGGUGGAGGAGAUUUGUAGACAUAUGGCGGAGGAGGUGAAGGAGAGGGAGGUGGUGGUGACUUAUAAAUAUAAGGUGGAGGUGGUGAAGGAGAUGGUGGUGGUGGAGAUUUGUAUGUAUAUAAUGGAGCUAAUUUGGGGUAGAGGUGUGCGUGUUUUGCAUGAUGUGGGGUGUAUUGUGAUUGUGGAUAUUUUGCAUGUUUUGGAGGAGGUGGAGAUUUAUAUGUAUAUAAUGGAGUUAAUUUGGGGUAGAGGUGUGAGUGUUUUGCAUGAUGUGGGGUAUAUUGUGAUUGUGGAUAUUUUGCAUACUUUGGAGGUGGUGGGGAUUUGUAUGUAUAUAAUUGAGUUAAUUUGGGGUAGAGGUGUGAGUGUUUUGCAUGAUGUGAGGUGUAUUUUGAUUGUGGAUAUUUUGCAUACUUUGGAGGUGGUGGGGAUUUGUAUGUAUAUAUUGGAGUUAAUUUUGGAUAGGGAUGUGAAUGUUUUGCAUGUUCAGGGGUGUACUUUGAUUGUGGAUAUUCUACAUGCUUUGUAGGUAAUGGAGAUUUGUGUUUAUAUAAUGGAGUUAAUUUAGGGUAGAGGUGCGAGUGUUUUGCAUGAUAUAGGGUGUAUUGUGAUUGUGGGUGUUUUGCAUAUUUUGGAGGUGGUGGAGAUUUAUAUGCAUAUAAUGGAGUUAAUUUGGGAUAGGGAUGUGAAUGUUUUGCAUGUUUUGGGGUGUACUUUGAUUGUGGAUAUUCUGCAUGCUUCGUAGAGAGUGGAGAUUUGUGUUUAUACAAUGGAGUUAAUUUGUGAUUGAGGUGUGGGUGUUUCGCGUAAUAAUAUGGGGUUUUUUGUGACCGUGGAUAUUCUACAUGCUUUGUAGAUGGUGGAGAGUAGUUGUUUGGCUGGGAUGCAUAAUAUGGUUUAUAAGCAGCAACAUUGAUACUAAUACUAAUUGCAAUUAGGCAAAAUGCAAUUGCAUAGAUGAGUGGAGUUCCCAUCUUUUAUCAAUGUGUGCAGCUACUCUUGUCUUUGAAAUAUGCUUGCUUUGGAAAUUAAAGUAUGCAGCAUCUCCUUUAUAUAGUGUUACCCUCUUCACAAUUAUGACCUACAAUAUCUCUUUGUGAAAGCAUCAACAUUCUUGUUUAACAUUUUAAAUUAUAUGUAUGCUGCUCCAUUACUCUUUUUCUUUAAAGCAUUUUCAAGUUGAAGACUUGAAAGUACUGGUUCUCCACUAAGUGAGUUCAUAUUCUUUUAGUUUCACAAUAUAAAAUAGAAAUUAACAAAGUCAAGGAAGAGGGUUGGUAAUAGCAUGGCUGGAUAUAAUAUAAUCAUUUGUUAGAUUCUAUCAAAUUUUGUGAAAAAAACACAUUAAAGCCAACUAUGGUUAUUUUCAUUUAUUUAUAGAGAAUCAGUGAUUAUGAUGGAGAAAAUCUAAAUUAUAGUAUAAAACAUCACAAAGUCAAAUGUCAAGGUUGUCUCUCUAAUCUGUCUUUUCCUAGUUCCUAGCUAAAUGAUUUGGCCAAUUCGAAAAAGGGUAAAAGUAAAUGAUCAAAUUGCUACUUCAAAUUAUACGAUCACGUCAUUUUAGUCUAAAUUUUACGAAUAUGCAAAUAUCCUGAAUGUUAAAUGUUAAGUUAAACGGUAUGAGUUAAAUGUUAAAUGCAUCUUUAAUAUCUAUGCAUAGAGGCCAUAUCAUAGAGAUCAUUUUGUCUAAAAAUGUACCAUUACUAAUUUACUAAUUCUAAGGGAGAAAGUACAUGGAUUAAUUUAAUAAUUUACUCAUUUGACUGAACACAUACACAAGAAUAUGAAAAUUUCUGUUAAUAGUCGUUUUAGUUAAAUUGUGAGGGUUGGUCAAUUUUGUACUCAAAUUUUGUGAACUAAGUUAUGUAAAUUUGUAACAAUGGAUAGAAAAAUAAUGCUAGCAUAUCAUAUAAUCUAACACACUCUUUUAAACAAGCUCUCUAUUAUUGAUCGAAAUUUAUGUAUUCCAUUCAAUCAUGCGAGUUUCAUUCUUUAUUUUUUAUUUGGUAGUACACACUCUCAAACUGAUAAAAUCCAAAAAAAUAUUCAGCAAACUAUAGAGUACAUUGAAAAAAAUAGCCUUUAUCUCCAUAGAAAAAAAAUAAUCAAUUUAAUAGUCUAAACUGAUUUGCUUAUUGUUUUUUUCACCAUCAUCAUCACUAUCUUAUGCGGUAUAAGGUCUCUUGUUGAUUGAUAAUUAAGCUCCACCAGAACCAAAUUUCUUUCCCAACAUAAGCACCUGCAGUUUAUCAUAACUUGCAAGCACACCAGCACCAGCUACUGCUCGAAGAAUGUUUGCACCAGCACCUUUGAAGAGAGAUUUUGGACCUUCAGUUUUCACAAUUUGUGAGAAAGCAUCCAAAGAACUCUUGUACUUUACAGCUUCACCUGAUGUCAUCAUCAUUCUUCUACGAACUGUGUCUAAAGGGUAAGAUGCAACACUAGCACCAACCGUAACAGCCCAUCCUAGGGCAAAGCUAGCUAGGAAACUAUCCUGAAAUUUUGUAAAAUAAUAUUUUAGAGCAGCAAAAUUUGGUUAUAAAGAAAACAUAUUAGUAAACGCACAUAAAAACGAUUGAUAACAAAGUUCGCCCAAUUGUGUCAACAUCUUCGACGGUAGAGUGGCCCGAGGAGUUUUUCGGCUAUGCAAUUUUUAAGGUUACAUAGUAUAAUACAAAGUUUAAAUACUAUGGUUUAGUCUACCCCUACCAAUGUUUUAAAAGUUUGACCAAACAAAAAUUUGGACAGUUUCGCUGGUUGGUUUGAUCCUAAUUGUAAUGCAUUCUGAUUGAACCGGAUUGAACUGGUUGAAUUGUUGUUGGUUCAACCGGUUUUUUACGUUUUAAUAUAUAUUUUUUCUUUUCUAUUGAUUUAUAUGUUAUCUGAUUCAAGUGUUUAACUGUAGUUGAACUAUGAUUCGGAGGUUUCACUAGUUUGAUUUUCGAUUUGGUUUUAAAAACAUCGUCCCCUACUCACUUAUGAGUAAAUAUGUGUUAUCUAAAUCCAUAGUAACACAAUCUUUAAGCAUGAUAUGUAAUAAUAAUGAACAUAAAAUGAAGUGUAAUUAAUGCCCCCUUCUUACCUGAAACGUUCCUACCAAGAGCACUGGCUUAAGAGAAUCAUACAGUCCAAAAUACAAACCACGGUAGACAAUGAUUCCAACAACUGAAACAUUGAAGCCGCGAUAAAGACCAGCAAUACCAUCUGAUUGUAAUGUCUUCUUGUAGACAUCAAUCAAGCCAUUGAAUUGCCUCUCUCCACCUUUCUUCGUGGACUUGGCGUCGCUUGCAAGGCGAGUUCGAGCAUAAUCCAACGAGUAAACGAAGAUGGAAGAUGAAGCUCCAGCUGCAGCACCAGAUGCAAUAUUUCCUGCAAAGACUUUCCAAUAUCCAUCCCUCUCUUGCUUGAAGUUAAAUAGCUUCUUAAAGUAGUCUUUGAAUGCAAAGUUGAAUGCCUGUAAUAGAUUAAUCAUGUUAGACAUUGGCCUAAUUAACACACAACAAAGCAAAAAUUUAAUUUAGACAUUGGCCUAAAGAAAUAAUUAAUGCAGUUGAAAAUUUGAAAGGAAACCUGUGUUGGAAAGUAACGGAUAACAUUGACAGUGUUUCCCCUCCAAAGUGAAGCAAAUCCUUCAUCUUUGACUGUUCUUCCAAAACAAUCUCCAAUACCCUUGUAAGGUUCAGAAAGCCUACCAGCCUUAAUCAUCUCAUCUUGAUUUUGAAUCAGAAGCUUCACGCGCUCAAUAGGAGCGGCUGCAGAUUUUGACACUGCUGCGGAAACUCCACCCAUGAGAAAAUCAGUGGCAAAGCUUGCAAAGCUUUUCUCUGAUGGUGAUGGAACAAACACUGC